AUAUUUUUCUUUGUUUUGUUUUCAAGACAAGGUUUUUCUGUGUAGCUCUAGAUGGCUUAGAACUAACUCACUCUGUAGACUAGACUGAGUCUGCCCUGGAACCCAGAGAUUCAACUGCCUCUUUCUCCUAAAUGCUUGGAUUAAAGGUGUGUGCCACCGUGAUUGUUACUAUACGUUUAUAAGCUUGGAUAUUACUGUGGACCAUGGUUUUACAUGCUCUUGUUUUCCCAAGUUCAUAAACACUGUAUCACUGAGAAUUCCCAGUGAACCCAUGUCCACCCCUACCUUCUAGCUACCCACAAGGAAACCAAAUCUUUUUUUUUUUUUUUAAGAUUUAUUUAUUAUUUAUACAACAUUCUGCCUGCACACCAGAUCUUACUAUAGAUGGUUAUGAGCCACCAUGUAGUUGCUGGGAAUUGAACUCAGUACCUUUGAAAGAACAGCUAGUGUUCUUAACCACUGAGCCAUCUCUCCAGCCCCUGUCAAAUCUUGUUAGUGCUUAAGAUGUGAUUAGGGGCCUUACUAGGACAAGUGUGUGUGUGCAUCCUGGAAAAUUAGAGGUACAGUGGUCUUGCUUUCAGAAUCCUGACAACAUGAUGUUUUUGGCAGGAGCACAAGGUCAUCCCUCUCAAUCAAGGCUUUGCCCACUUGUCUUGAUUCCUGAGUUUUGAGCCCUAAAACUAAGGUGUGUAGUGGUCAGGUCUCUGAGGUCCCCACAGUCCUGUCUCUUCUGACAACUGAUCCCCUGGUGAGGAGCCUAUAUCUGUAGCUCUCAUCCUGGAGGGAUAGAUCUCCCUGUCAGCUCCCCAGCAUGGCAAUGCAGUAUCUCAUGCUUUUGGCUGGCCUUCUGAUGGGAGGUCUGAGCAAGUCCACAGAAAGCAAGGCCCAGCAACUUGAGUGUUGUAUGGAUGUGGUAGACUUCAAUACUACCUGCCCAAGCACAGGUCUGUGUGGCCCAGGUUGCUACAGGCACUGGAAUGCAGAUGGGAGUGCUAGCUGUGUCCGAUGCUGGAAUGGGACCCUCCCGACAUACAAUGGCUCUGAGUGCAGAAUUCUCACUGGCCGGGGCAUGCAGUUUCCCAUGAACAGAAGCACAGGGACACCUGGACAGCCACAUUUUGGGGGUCCUCAUGUGGCAGCUUCCCUCUUCCUGGGGACACUCUUCAUCAGCACAGGCCUCAUCCUCUGUGUGGCUGGGUUCUUCUACCUCAAGCGCUCCAGUAAGCUUCCUGAGGUUUUCUACAGGAGAAACAGAGGCUUCAGUGGUCCCCCUGCCACAGUCUUCAGCCUUAUUGUCCCAAGAGUCAUCUAUUCAGUGUGUGGGAGCCAUCUACCCCAUUGCCAUGUUCAGGGGACAGAGAGUCAGGUAGGUAAAGAGGAGCCCCUCAGCAGGAUCCAGUACCAUCUGUUGUCCAGUGGGACUGGCAGUGUAGCACAACCCAUCCCCUUGUGCCCUUGGCCAGGACCUGUAUCACAUAUAACCCUUCCCAUUUCAGGGCACUGUCUUGCAUGGGACAACAACCCCAGCUCCUUAGUACCUGAGGUAGAAGGUGCCAAUCAAGCACGGCAUGGUCCUUCAGAUAAGACUACAGAUACAUCACUAAGCUUUGUGGGGCCCUGACAAUUUAUGGAUCUCAGUCACCCUUGAGAAAAGCAGAGCCCUCUACCCUGGCUAGCUGAGUCCAGCUUAGUGGUCACACUCAAAGCCUGUGUGGAGAUGUUUGUCUGCUGAUUAGUGGUGGAACUGGUUAAGGAGUGCAGAGAGCACAGGGAUUCUGGAAGUCCCUGGUGGUUUGAAUGAGAAUGCCUCCCAUAGGCUUAUAUACUUGAAUGCCAAUCAGGGAAUGGCACUACUUGAGAGGGAUUUGAAGGUGUGGCCUUGUUGGAGGUUUGUCACUGGGAGUGGGCUUUGGGGUCUCAAAAGUUUAAGCCAAGCCUAGUGGCUUUCUCUUCCUGCUACCUACAGAUCUGGAUGUAGAACUCUAAGCUCCUCUUCCAGCAUCAUGUCUGCCUGUGUGCUACCAUGCUGAUAAUGGACUAAACCUCUAAAACAUCAGCCAGCUCCUGGAUGAAGAACACAGGUAUCAUACCUCCCAUUCCCACAUACGCACAGAA